rnacentral:lncRNA from 1 species
AAAAUUACAAGAUGUUCAAAAAGACCUAUAAUGUGCAUGAAGCUAACAGAACUAGCUACUACAAAGUAAAAUAAUUUGAUUCCUAGAGAACUAGCUAUUACAACAGAAACUGUUGCAUGAAAAAUCUCCUGCAUGUGUAUGUGAAUCCAAUUGGCCAAGGCAAAUACCAAGUAGCACCUAUCAAGCUCUCACCAGGCACCAGAGUAUGCAUUCGUAAAGCCAAAAUGAAUUUUAAGAAAAUACACCAAUGGAUAGAAUCGAACAAAGUCCUCCAAUCAUAUGAACACCAUACCAGAGCUUAAAUUAGGGAAUAGUAGCAGAAAUCUCAAACGAUUACUCUACUGUGAAACUGCAACUUCAUAUAAUAUAAAGAGAGCACAUCAAAUGCCAUUGUAAUCCAGAAUUGCUCUCUUAAUUUAUUCAGAACCAAGAUCCUAUAGCCAUUUUCAAAAUGUGAAUUGGAACCUUAUCAUCCUUAAGACUUUCAAAAGUGAUGCCUGACUAGAGCCAACCUGACUGGGAUAUACUGAUUAAUUGUGCAAUGCACAGCUCUACUCUUCAUCAAUAUAUGAUACCUCUCUUAUGAUCUCCUUCCAUGUAAUCUUAGAUCAUCCUCAUAUUGAGCAUGGAACCAUGCUAACACCACUGAGUAACACUCUACUAUCACACAGAAAGAAACCACAAACUGCGACAUUAUACACAAAACAUCAAAUAAACUUUAAUGCCUUAUCUACCAUCAUCUAUAAAAAAGGCUUAGGUAGAACCAAUAUUUCGUGUGCAUCAGUCUGGGGCUUUCCUUUUUGCAACUUUAAAUCUGAGUGAUUUAAUUAGGAUGGAUCACAUCACUCUGAAUUUUGAAAGUUUAACUAAUUGAAACAGGACAAUUUACCAGAGCUUUGAACGUAUAAAUUGAACUACUUUAAAUUCACCACUCCAUCAAGGAAGGGAUUCCCCUAGGCUUAAACUACCGACCCUACGCGUAAAGGGGAGUAGCUGAUCUCCAACUCAGGCCCAAUCCCGAGCCCAAGUCCUUGGGGCAGCUAGUCAACAGUAGAAAAUGGGACUACAUAUCAAAUCCUUAAACAUGCAAAUGUUGAAUUAUUUAUAGCAAGCAGUGUGAGUCCAAUUUCAAAGUUCUAAAGUUAAUGCUAAGCCCAUUAUGCCUCUAUUGAUUCUACCAUGGAAUGGGCUUGACUUAACAAAUUAAAGACUUGAUUUCGAAACACUAAUCAAUUAUCAGGCUUUUAUGACUCCACAUUACACAACUGCUUGGCAGCCUUGGCUAUUGAAACAGACCUACAAUUUACGAAUGAGCUACUGGGCUCGAAUAACAAGCCCAAAAUAAAGCAUCAACCUAUUUUAAAGGCAGGCCCUCCCAAGGCCAUGUGCUCAAUGAGACCAAACCAUGAUGGAUUAGGGUUGAGGAUCACAAACCUAAUAUCGAGUUUCUGCCAAAACAGGUGAUCAUUCACAUUUAGUCACAAGCCAACAUGUUUCACUAACAAUCAGUAAUUAGUACAUCAAGGUACUUUUCUACAUUAUCAGGUGAGGCUGUUUGAUUGCAGAUUAUAAAAUGCCUAUUUUUAAACUAGACUUGCCCAAUCCUCAUGGAAAUCAAACCAGGAACUUUCAAUCUUGACCCCAUUCAAUCCAUAAACAUAACAUGCUAGUUAUUGGGAUAUUAAGAAAACCAAGCUAAACUCAUUCUUUAAGAAAUAAAUACCAGAAUCAAAGAUGGAACUGACAUGCAAAUAAUCAUUAUAACUCAUUCUAUGGCCUUUUAUACUUAAGAUGAAUUUGACUUCAGCAUUUGAAAUAAGCUGACAACAAUAACCUCAAUAAACUUCCAUGCAAAGAGAUAAGAUGACUAAACUUAAAUGCAUACAUGAGUUUCAAUUAAAACUGAGAAUAAUGAGAACCCAAAAUACAAUCAACCUUGACUAAACCUACAGUUAGUCAGGCUUCCAGAAUAGUUCAUAAUCAUGCUAAAGUCCAAUUAUACAAUACCAAAUUCAAUUACAAACUCAAAUGGCCAAAGUGUGGCCCAAGUUCCAUAGCAUCCCUAUGUCACAUAUACUAAUAGCACUCAUUUACUUGAACUAAAAUUCAGUCUAUUGAGACAACAAACAGAUGUCGAAUGUAAAAUCAAGUAGUACUAUUAAAUUAACAGAGCUUAGGAAUGCCAUGCUUCAACUCAGCUUUUCAUUUCAAUCUCCAGAUUUACUUCACAACAUUGAGGAUCAAAGUAGAUACCUGGAUAUAACCAAAAUAGCUACAGAAUUUCAGCAAAAAAGUGGUAAGGUCAGCAGUGGUUAAACAACAAAACAACUAGUAGGAUCAACUUCAGCAAAAUAGUCCCAAUCGAACAGUAACCCAACAAGCUUUAAACCAAUUUGAAGACCAAAUUCAACCCAUUUGUGUGCUCAGUUGAGUCUAGAUUAUUUUAGAAAUUGAAAAGAAAAAAGAAUUGAAUAGGAGAGAUCCAAUGAAACAAUAAUUUUAGUCAUUUGUAUUGUUCUCUAUUUUUAACUGUUCAAUUCUGCCUUGAAAGGCAAAGAAAGAUGCCUUUAUAGGCAAGGAAAUAGGGCAACAAUAAAGGGAUUAGAUUUGCAUUUUAGUCCUUUUGAAUUUUUUUGUUUUAGCUAACCAAUCCUUAGUUAAAAAGCAGAAAUUCAAUUUAAACCCCCACCCAGCUUCCUAGAAUCUUCUCUUUCAGUUAUACAAAAAUUCCAUAUCCCAAACUACCCAAAUUACCCCUCAGUUACCUUGUUUUUAACCCUGAACCUUAAAUAGACUAUGGGUCAAAUUCACCCUGGGUCAAAUCCAUUAGGAACCCAGCCCAAACCUGGGCUGCAAAACCUGGAUUGACUUCCCUUUUCUUUGGGCUUGCCAGGCUAGAACGAAUCUCUUCUUGGGCUUCUGAAUUUCAGGGUUUGAGUUCAAUUGAAAGACAAAACCAUACAUCCCAAAAGCUAAUAGAGUCCUAAAGACUCUGAAACUCUGAGUCCCCAAAGGAAAAGUAGAGAUAGAAAAGCCCAACUUCGUAUAGACUCACAACCAGAAGACAAAACUAAUCAAAUGUAAAAAUACAUGCAAGCUUGGAUGGUUUAGAGAAAUAAAAGAAAAACAGAAAAAUAAGAACCAAAAAGAUAAAAGAAAGAAAAUAACAACUGAGAAUAGAACUAGGAAAAAUGAAAUUUAAAUAUCGGAAUACAAAGAGAAAAAUACCUAUGAAAUCCAAUUAACUUCAAAGUCUUCAAUAACAAAGAUGACUUGAACUCCGGCGAAUCCAAAGCUUGACUAAACGAUGAGAACCACAAAAAUAUUAGCCGAAAUUUUGUUCAUGGCUAAUUAUUCAUGCAACAAUCAUCAACGUGUGUCAAGAGGAUAUGGAACAGGGGCUCGAAAGAAUGAGAAACUUCAUGAACCAAUUGUCUGAACUUUGACCAAAUUGACAAGAAGGUCUUAUUGAUUGUUCAAACAAAGUUAUCUUGUUAAAGAUCUAGGUAAUUCACAAGGUGUUUACUACGGACUGAAGAUUUAACCUGAAAAAUCUGAGAAAAUGAGGAAUAGAUCGGAUUUUUAUGCUGUGAUCUGAAAUUUAGAGAAAUCGGGUGGUCUUUUGGAGAAACUAAUGGUAGGACAAGAAUGAGGAGAUGAUGGGGAUCAACUGGUUAAAAUUUGGAUAGAUUUGGCGUGUGCUCCGCCGCCGUGAAGCGAUUUCCGGGCCGCGGGGCGAUGGUUGAAGGAGGCGGUGAUUUCAGAGAAAAAGAUAUUAGGUUUUAUUUGGAAUGGACUAAAACGAAAGACCAGUAGGUGAGUUUGGUCGUUUAAUGACGGGGACAGAUGAAACGACAUAGUUUGGCAUCAUAACUACAUCAUUUGGUGAGUCGGACCGAUAUGCGUUUGGAUUUUGGGCUGAUUCUAGUCUGGAAUGAACUUUGGGCAUUAUUUGGACUAAUUUGGGAGGUUUCAAAAU